GAUGAACGCUGACAGAAUGCUUAACACAUGCAAGUCAACUGUGGCGGACGGGUGAGUAACGCGUAAAGAACUUGCCUCACGGUUAGGGACAACAUUUGGAAACGAAUGCUAAUACCUGAUACUGUGAGAGAGCUUUGCGUCCCAUUAGCUAGUUGGAGAGGUAACGGCGCACCAAUGCGAUGAUGGGUAGCCGGCCUGAGAGGGUGAUCGGCCACAAGGGGACGGAGACACGGCGCUUACUACUACGGGAGGCAGCAGUGGGGAAUAAUGGUCAAUGGACCAAAGUCUGAUCCAGCAAUUCUGUGUGCACGAUGAAGUUUUCGGAAUGUAAAGUGCUUUCAGUUGGGAAGCGGUACCAACAGAAGAAGUGACGGCUAAAUACGUGCCAGCAGCCGCGGUAAUAC
rnacentral:rRNA from 1 species